GUACACUCCUGCGGGAGGCAGCAGUGGGGAAUAUUGCACAAUGGGCGCAAGCCUGAUGCAGCCAUGCCGCGUGUAUGAAGAAGGCCUUCGGGUUGUAAAGUACUUUCAGCGGGGAGGAAGGCAAUACGGUUAAUAACCGUGUUGAUUGACGUUACCCGCAGAAGAAGCACCGGCUAACUCCGUGCCAGCAGCCGCGGUAAUACGGAGGGUGCAAGCGUUAAUCGGAAUUACUGGGCGUAAAGCGCACGCAGGCGGUCUGUCAAGUCGGAUGUGAAAUCCCCGGGCUCAACCUGGGAACUGCAUUCGAAACUGGCAGGCUUGAGUCUUGUAGAGGGGGGUAGAAUUCCAGGUGUAGCGGUGAAAUGCGUAGAGAUCUGGAGGAAUACCGGUGGCGAAGGCGGCCCCCUGGACAAAGACUGACGCUCAGGUGCGAAAGCGUGGGGAGCAAACAGGAUUAGAUACCCCGGUAGUCCC
rnacentral:rRNA from 1 species